GCAGGAUGUGACGUCACUCUGGCUGUGACAUCUGUUACCCCAUUGAUUACCUGGGUUGGUUGGGCUGAUCUGGCUGGCUAGGCGGGUAUCCCCUUCAUGUGCAUCUUUCCUGUGCUCAGUCAAAGAGGAUGACCUCCCUCAUAGAGGGAGGACCAUUCUUUGGUCAAGGGUAUACCAGCAGCUGCAUUCCCCUGCUAGACUUUCCAAGCAAGCUUCCAAAGAUGCAAAUUCAACCGUCUCUUUGACUGACUGUUAAAACACAUGGGCCUGUUUCUAAUCUGCAAUAUUCAAUAGAGAUACAUCCUGAUGUGCCAAUCUUCAAUUUGGCACAUCAACGACUUUCAAAGCUCUGGCCAGAGAAAAGUUAUUUUUGAAGAAUUGACUGAAAGCAACACCAUCCAUCCGCUUCUUUACAUACUACAAAAUCCAUCCCUAUAGUAUGACAGACAUCAGAGAGCAUAUGUCCCCAGACCACAUUAUGUUGGUCUCAUUUUAUGCUCUUAGCUUACAUUAAGGCACAUUGUGGAUUAUACAGUGACCAUAUACCCUGAUUUGUUUGGAUCAGUUUUUGUUUCCAUCUAUUGUCCCAUUGUAAUUGUCAUUAGUGCCCUUUUC
rnacentral:lncRNA from 10 species